GGAUCGGUAGUGGACGGUCCACACCCCUGAUUCAUACCAUGUUAUUGAUCUCGCAUCGAUGCGGGAAUCGCCCGUUCGAUUCGGGCCUGAGCCA